rnacentral:rRNA from 1 species
AGUGAACGCUGGCGGUAGGCCUAACACAUGCAAGUCGAACGGCAGCACAGUAAGAGCUUGCUCUUACGGGUGGCGAGUGGCGGACGGGUGAGGAAUACAUCGGAAUCUACUUUUUCGUGGGGGAUAACGUAGGGAAACUUACGCUAAUACCGCAUACGACCUACGGGUGAAAGCAGGGGAUCUUCGGACCUUGCGCGAGUGAAUGAGCCGAUGUCGGAUUAGCUAGUUGGCGGGGUAAAGGCCCACCAAGGCGACGAUCCGUAGCUGGUCUGAGAGGAUGAUCAGCCACACUGGAACUGAGACACGGUCCAGACUCCUACGGGAGGCAGCAGUGGGGAAUAUUGGACAAUGGGCGAAAGCCUGAUCCAGCCAUACCGCGUGGGUGAAGAAGGCCUUCGGGUUGUAAAGCCCUUUUGUUGGGAAAGAAAAGCAGCAGGUUAAUACCCCGCUGUUCUGACGGUACCCAAAGAAUAAGCACCGGCUAACUUCGUG